GUUUUUUGUCUUUUCUUU
rnacentral:sRNA from 1 species